UGGGUUCCCCCACCUGUGGUUGGAGGAAUGUUAAUUAGCCUCUCCCUUCCCGGAGGGGAGGGGUGCUCAAGUGUUAGUUCCUGAGCUGACCUCUUCACCAUCCCCCAUGAGGUGGUACUGAGUUCUGUAAGAAAGCAAGCUGAACAAGCCCAGAGAAGCAAGCAGCGCUACUCCAAGGUGCCUUUCAUGGGCUUCUGCCUGCAGAUUCUGUCCUGCAGGGUUCCUGCCCACACUGCUUUUGAUAAUGAACUGUUUGGAACUGCUUUGGUCGGGGCGUUUCAUCUCAGCAAUAGUAGCCCUAAGACACCAUCCACCUUACAAUCGCACUAAUAGAGAAACCAGUAGGCAUUCAGGAAGAAAACUGAACGAAGCCUAUACAGUAAGUCUAAGAAACUCAGCUCUUUGUACUUUUAUUUUUAAAUCCUUCCUCAGCAGCUACUGGGUUGCAAAUACUCUAAGCCUUUGCUUGUGUGCUGUUAACAACCUUGCAGACUACCUCUUGAUCCUUUCAUAUCAUCUAGACGUUUGAAUUUGUUCCAACCUGCUUAACCCGUUUAAUGAAACAGCCAAUAGCUGAUUGGCCCCGUGGCUCCACAGCAAGAGGUAAUUACUGCUUAGUUGGCUGCCUGCUCAGUAUACUCAGCUGCAUAUUGCUUUCUGAAGCCUGGGGGAAUCUUGUAAUUGCCCUUUGGUGACAGCAGUCAUUUCCUGCCCGGAUUUUUAAACUUAACUAUGAUCCUGCCACAUCUCUUUGGAAGCUGUAGCUGUUGUGCAGUGUUACCAUUGAGUCAUUUUGGAUCUGUCCGCCAUGUGGAUAGCAUAGACUCCCAAGACAUUGGUCCCACAUUCUCCUUUGAAGAGACAACUCUAAAAGGGAUUUGAUUUGCAAAAUUUCCCAGCCAAUGAUCUCACCAAGAGGGGAGAAAAUAGAGUUAUAUGAACAGGUGUAUUCACGAAAUCCUUGCUCUCGGUGAACUGAUGAGUCUUUCAACCUGCCUGCCACAUCAUUUCAAAUGUGUUGCUACUGAGAAGACUACAUGCCCACUGCCUUUAAUCUUCACAAGCU
rnacentral:lncRNA from 1 species